CCCAUUACAGUCACAUCUUUUGCUCUUCUUAGGAGGACACCAAAGAGUUCCUCAGAGAUACAUUUGAGGAAAUUUUUUUUUUCAGUCUUUGCUUUCUCUCGCCACUUCUGACACCGUUGACCACUUCCCCCUUGAAGCCCUGUUGCUUGGUUUCCAUGACCUCUAGCGUCUCUUCACCUCUUUCGCUUCCCUCUCAGGCUCUCUCAAAGGCGAUUAGAAAUACCAGAAAGUAACUUCUACUACUUCUAAAGCCAGACUUCCAGAUCAAAGAGUGAAGUUGUGGAUCUACAUUCGGCUUGGUCCCUCCCAUUGGCCAUUCUAUCACAUCAGAUCAUAAUAAUGUGUAGGGCUUCUAUUUGAAAUUUUGAAGCCCAGUGUGUGAAAUGGAAGAGGAUUCUUUCAGCGGGAAGUGUAGCUCCUACAUAAAGAAACAGCUGAAAUAAUCAAUACAAAAAAAAAAAAUCACAAGCCAAAACUGUUUCCUUUAGAAGAGAAUUUGUGACAUUAGUUUUAAAAAAGGGAACAAAUGUCAAGGGCAGCUGGGUUAAUGAGUACACGAAGUACAGCUGCUCUUGCCCAUGGAGACUGGAGCGCUGACGUGGACGAGCAGGAGCGGAAAAUGACGGUGGUGACUGCCGCAGCCCUAACCAGGCACUUACUCCACGUCCAUUCAUAAUGGGGGAUGAUUGGCACUGCCGGCAGAAGGAGAGACGCUGGACUGUAAUUAGAACGUUGGCGCUCAUCAAAAUCCAGUAAAACAAGGAGAGCCAUGAUUUCUUAAACCUGAAGCUACAGUCCGCAAAAUGGCUUUGCUUUUCCAAUUCUUUAUUGUUUCAGUAUUCAUUGAAAAAAAGGAAAAAACCCACAGACCAUGCAAAAUUAAGAUGCUCUAUCACAGAAGAAUAAAUGAGAUGAGCCUGCUUUCUGUAUAAUGGCCAAUAUUUAGAGAUGUGCUCUAUAAACUUCAAUGAAAAUCACUGCAGAAUAUUUCACUUCAGAAAGACAUUUCUUUUGGCUAAAGGGCUAUUUCUCCAUCCUCCUCUUGUUCCUAGAUACCAUUAUUUCUGCACUGAGACAGAGCUGACCCACUAUGUCAUGGUGUCGACUGAGAAAUGACUUCUAGGUUAGAACUGGGCUUUCUAUUCAGGGAGAAUGACUGAUGUGUAGUUACCCAAGUUCUCUUUGAAGGUAAAUAUGCUCAUUUACCUGAUGGAGUUUGAAUCUGUUAGAAGGUCUUCCCUGGUGGUCCAGUGGUUAAGAAUCCACCUGCAAUGCAGGAGACAUGGCUCUGAUCCCUGGGAUCUAGGAAGAUACCACAUGGCUCAGCGCAACUAAGCCGGUGUACUGCAGUUACUGAAGCUGGUGCAUCCUAGAGCCCAUGUUCCCAACAAGAGAAGCCACGACAACGAGAAGCCUGUGAGAGAGUAGUCCCCUUUCGCUGCAACUACACCAAGUCUAUACACAGCAGCAAAGACACAAUGCAGUCAAAAAUGAAUAUUAAAAAAAAAUUCACUUAUAA